ACAGCCACAUCUUGUUGAAAUACCAGUUCCCAUAUGAUCACUGAAGUUAAGCAACAGUGAGCCCGGUCAGUACUUAGAUGAGUAACCAUUUGGGGUUACCAGGUGCUGUAA